GCGUGCCUUCUCUCCACCACCCCCCACCCCCCCAUCGCCCCAACACCUUGAGCCACAACAGUCGGGGGCUGGGUCAAGCUGAGCAGAGCUGGGAGUCACUUACUGGGUCCUCAAGUCCUGACAAAGUCGGGAGAUGGAGCCAGAUUUGGAGCGGGGCCUUUGAAAAGAGUAAACAAGGAUGUGCAAAAGUUUUUGAACCUUUCUACUCUCAAUCACCAACAAAGUGAAGGAAGCAGUCCUUGACAGUGCUAUCAAGUCAUACUUAUCCACACUCACUGGGCUUCGCCAGGCCCAUUCAGUAACAGACCUCAUCACAGCCUUGGAAGCGGCGGAAAGGGUGAGCAGCUUCAAGUUCCUGAGCGUCAACUUCUCAGAGCAUCUGUCCUGGGCCCAACACAUUGAUGCAAUCACGAAGGUGACACGCCAGCAGCUCUACUUCAUCAGGAGUUUGAGGAGAUUUAGUAUGUCACCAAAGACUCUUGCAAAUUUCUACAGAUGUACGAUGGAGAGCAUUCUGACUGGUUGCAUCACUGCCUGAUGUGAAGGCUCCAAUGUGCAGAUCAAAAGAGGGUUGUAGACUCAGCCAGCUCCAUCAUAGGCACAACCCUCCCUGCCAUCAAGGACAUCUUCAAGAGGCAGUACCUCAAGAAGGUGGCAUCCAUCAUUAAAGAACCUCACCACCUGGGACAUGC